CAGGAAAUCAUCGCCUGAAGAACGCUAAAAAGUUGUGAAUGACCUAUUAAUACGAGGAGUGUAACAUUAACAGGCCCUGUAAUAGAACAGCUCCCUCCCGUCCACGUGACGCACUCACUGCAGCGCAGUCCAGUGCACAUCUUGUCUAAUGUAUGCAGUCCUGGAACAGCCGUUUGAGGGUGCAUAUCUUUAAAAUGUGAACAAAUUGCCAGUUUGGAAUCGCACAUCGUGUAUCUAACCAGAUUUUUGUCAUCUACACUCCAGUGGCACUGUCUAUGGACGGGGGGCACAGUUCUCUACGUUCCUCCGUUAAGAUAAUGGUGAUGGGGAGAAUGGGGCGCUUAAAGUAAUCUAUAUACACUAUGCGGGUUGACUGUACAGGGUUGUUUAUGAGUGGUGGUCUCUCUUAUUGACUUUUUUCAUGGGUGUAGGGGACAGUUUUUGGGUCAUGGCAUGGACAUGUCCUUGACCCUUCACCCACUAUGGACCGGUGGUCAUGCCGUGAGAAUGGCCGGACCACUAGCCCCUGUUCCCCUAUUCCAUGUGAGUAUGGCACAGUUCUGGAAGGUACUCCUUCCUAGUGCUGAUAUACGUAUAUACCACGUUCACUCUAUUCUGUAACCUGUAUACAGUUGCGGUAUGGGAAUAUGCAUAUGCUCUUGUGUUUUUCCCUUAUGCUCUGGAUUGUUAUGCCCCGUGCCUUCUCUCCCGUCUCCUGUAAUCUGGCUGCGCCGGCCCACUAUCUCUAGCAUGGGCGUGUCACUGCCGGCGUUGUCUGGCUUGCGGUUGCUGGGGCAACUACACCAGUAGUGCCGGCGUUUUUGGCCGGGCGACGCUUGCCUUGCAUCGCCUGCGUGACGCAGCCCCACGCCUCCCCCAGAUGUGUCAUGUGAUGGUUUGGUAGGUCACGUGUUUAGUCACGUGUCCGCUGACGUCGCAGGGCUGCGUCUGUGUGGUGUGACAUUGCUGGGAUCCUGGGCAUGCGCGGUCUGAUUGUGAGGACGCGGAUGUCUGGCGCUCAAGUUCUUACACUGCCAUGUGAGUUGCUUUUAAAUGUUUAUUGAUUAUGGUCACUUUGCACAUUGAUACACAGGUGAUAUCACAUCACAAUAAUGUGCCCUAUUAUCACUUAUUAAUGCACUGUUCUGUUUGUAUUAUGGCUAUUGUUUUUCUAUAUAAUGUAUUGCAUCAUGUAAACCACUAUGGAUGUGAUCCUCACGAUUUAGAGAUAUUUACUGUAUUGGACAUAUGAUUAUUCAUUAUAAUUGAAUUAUUAUCACUUUGUUUUGUGCUAUGCAUUGUGGGUAUAUAUAC